GUAAUCAUGAAGUCAUCUUUAUAACAUCUUGGUGGAACAGAAAAAGAGCAGACUUUUAGUAUCUCAAGAAUCUCUGCUUCCUGAGAUGAAGUGCCCCCCAGUGGUCAAAACCAGCUGGAAUCCAGCCUACUGAGACUCCUAGGAAAGCUGACUGCCCAAAGGUACUGAAUAGAGCCUGGGAAGGGCAAGGAGUGGAUCCCAGGCCAAGGAAUGUGACAUGUGAGCCAAGGAAUGUGGAUGGCCCUAGAAGCUGGAAAUGGCAAAGAAAUGGAUUCCCCCCUGAAGCCUCAAGAAAAUAAUACAGUCCCACCAAUACUUUAAUUUUGGCCCAAUGGGGCACUUUAAUUUUGGCCCAAUGGGGCAGCCACCAACACUUUAAUUUUGGCCCAAUGGCUCAGCGGUUUAGCACCACCUUCAGUCCAGGGCAUGAUCCUGGAGACCGGGGAUCGAGUCCCAUGCCAGGCUCCCUGCAUGGAGCCUGCUUCUCCCUCUGCCUGUGUC